rnacentral:rRNA from 1 species
UAGGGAAUCUUCCGCAAUGGACGAAAGUCUGACGGAGCAACGCCGCGUGAGUGAAGAAGGAUUUCGGUUCGUAAAACUCUGUUGUUAGGGAAGAAAAAAUGUAUAGUAACUAUAUACAAAAGAGAUGGUACCUAACCAGAAAGCCACGGCUAACUACGUGCCAGCAGCCGCGGUAAUACGUAGGUGGCAAGCGUUGUCCGGAAUUAUUGGGCGUAAAGCGCGCGCAGGUGGUUUAGAAAGUCUGAUGUGAAAGCCCACGGCUCAACCGUGGAGGGUCAUUGGAAACUAAUAAACUUGAGUGCAGGAGAGAAAAGUGGAAUUCCUAGUGUAGCGGUGAAAUGCGUAUAGAUUAGGAGGAACACCGGUGGCGAAAGCGGCUUUUUGGCCUGCAACUGACACUGAGGCGCGAAAGCGUGGGGAGCAAACAGG